ACAACUUUCAACAACGGAUCUCUUGGCUCUCGCAUCGAUGAAGAACGCAGCGAAAUGCGAUAAGUAAUGUGAAUUGCAGAAUUCAGUGAAUCAUCGAAUCUUUGAACGCACCUUGCGCCCCUGGUUUCGCUGGGGGCAUGCCUGUUUGAGUGUCGUG
rnacentral:rRNA from 1 species